UACGUAGGGGGCAAGCGUUGUCCGGAUUUACUGGGCGUAAAGAGCGUGUAGGCGGCCAAGCAGGUCCGUUGUGAAAACUGGAGGCUUAACCUCCAGACGUCGACGGAAACCGCGUGGCUAGAGUCCGGAAGAGGAGAAUGGAAUUCCCGGUGUAGCGGUGAAAUGCGCAGAUAUCAGGAAGAACACCCGUGGCGAAGGCGGCUCUCUGGGACGGUACUGACGCUGAGACGCGAAAGCGUGGGGAGCGAACAGG
rnacentral:rRNA from 1 species